rnacentral:rRNA from 1 species
GAAGGGAGCUUGCUCCUGGAUUCAGCGGCGGACGGGUGAGUAAUGCCUAGGAAUCUGCCUGGUAGUGGGGGAUAACGUCCGGAAACGGGCGCUAAUACCGCAUACGUCCUGAGGGAGAAAGUGGGGGAUCUUCGGACCUCACGCUAUCAGAUGAGCCUAGGUCGGAUUAGCUAGUUGGUGGGGUAAAGGCCUACCAAGGCGACGAUCCGUAACUGGUCUGAGAGGAUGAUCAGUCACACUGGAACUGAGACACGGUCCAGACUCCUACGGGAGGCAGCAGUGGGGAAUAUUGGACAAUGGGCGAAAGCCUGAUCCAGCCAUGCCGCGUGUGUGAAGAAGGUCUUCGGAUUGUAAAGCACUUUAAGUUGGGAGGAAGGGCAGUAAGUUAAUACCUUGCUGUUUUGACGUUACCAACAGAAUAAGCACCGGCUAACUUCGUGCCAGCAGCCGCGGUAAUACGAAGGGUGCAAGCGUUAAUCGGAAUUACUGGGCGUAAAGCGCGCGUAGGUGGUUCAGCAAGUUGGAUGUGAAAUCCCCGGGCUCAACCUGGGAACUGCAUCCAAAACUACUGAGCUAGAGUACGGUAGAGGGUGGUGGAAUUUCCUGUGUAGCGGUGAAAUGCGUAGAUAUAGGAAGGAACACCAGUGGCGAAGGCGACCACCUGGACUGAUACUGACACUGAGGUGCGAAAGCGUGGGGAGCAAAC